AGUUUGAAAAUAAAAUCAACUGGGGGAUUAAUGGAUUUUCCUUUCUGUGGUCGUAUGUAGGUCCAAAACGUAAUUGGAAAAUGAAGAGCGAGCCCGACGGGCGACCAUGCCUCAAAAACCAAACAAUAAUUAGUUCUCUCAUUUGCAAUGUUAGCUCCCAACCUUCAUUUGUUGUAGAAUUCUUCAAUAUCAUCUUUGAUUUGUUAUUAUCAAUUUCUUGGAUCACUUCGAAAUGAAAAGGAGAUUAUGAAACACAAGGGCUAGUUUGAAGGGUGUUUCCAAAACUCAAUCGAACGUGUGAAAAAUGAACACCCGCCGACGAGGCUUCAAUACAUGCCAUUAAAAGCCUUAGUGGGAUCAAAACGUGCUGUGGGGUAGCAAGCAAGAGGCAAGAGGCAAGCAAGAGGCAAGGGAUCGAGUUGAACCUCCCAAAAUCAGCCUCCACUAAAGAUGGAUUACCCCUCAAAAUUCACCCAAAGGAGGAUGGGUGAAUUGGUGAGUGAAGGCUGGAUAGGAAUACAAAUAAUGAUUAUUAUGGUCUCAUAACUUGGAUCGCGAGUUUUGCGAGUUAGCCAGGGUAACUCGGGUUUUUUUGUCCUUUUUAUUUGAAUAUAUGUGUUUUUCUUUAAUUUCAUCCUUUUAACAUUUAGUUGGUUGAAAUUGAAAUUUAUAAUUUUUUUUACUUGCUUUCUAUGGAGUUAUCUCAGUAUCCUGAUCCAGGUUUGGCAAGUGAACCUGAGUUGGCUCGAGUUGUUUUUUGUCUUUUUAAUUUUUUUUCAAUUUUAUCCUUCAACAUUAGGUGGAUUAGAAAUUAUGCUUCACAAUUUAUUUCGGUUUGUGUUUUAUGAGGUUAUCUCGGUCUUAUGACCUGGAUCGUAUAUUUGGUUGUACUUAGGUUGACUCGGGUGAUUUUUCGUGUUCUUUUUUUAAUUUCAUUCUUUAAUAUUGAAUUGAUUAAGAAUUGAGUUUCAUAA